rnacentral:rRNA from 1 species
UACGUAGGGGGCGAGCGUUGUCCGGAAUUAUUGGGCGUAAAGAGCGUGUAGGCGGUCCGGUAAGUCAGCUGUGAAAGUCAAGGGCUCAACCCUUGAAUGCCGGUUGAUACUGUCGGGCUAGAGUCCGGAAGAGGCGAGUGGAAUUCCCGGUGUAGCGGUGAAAUGCGCAGAUAUCGGGAGGAACACCAAUGGCGAAGGCAGCUCGCUGGGACGGUACUGACGCUGAGACGCGAAAGCGUGGGGAGCAAACAGG